rnacentral:rRNA from 1 species
UGAGGAAUAUUGGACAAUGGGCGCAAGCCUGAUCCAGCCAUGCCGCGUGCAGGAUGACGGUCCUAUGGAUUGUAAACUGCUUUUGUACGAGAAGAAACACUGAUUCGUGAAUCAGCCUGACGGUAUCGUAAGAAUAAGGAUCGGCUAACUCCGUGCCAGCAGCCGCGGUAAUACGGAGGAUCCAAGCGUUAUCCGGAAUCAUUGGGUUUAAAGGGUCCGUAGGCGGUCUUGUAAGUCAGUGGUGAAAGCCCAUCGCUCAACGGUGGAACGGCCAUUGAUACUGCUGGACUUGAAUUAUUAGGAAGUAACUAGAAUAUGUAGUGUAGCGGUGAAAUGCUUAGAGAUUACAUGGAAUACCAAUUGCGAAGGCAGGUUACUACUAAUGGAUUGACGCUGAUGGACGAAAGCGUGGGUAGCGAACA